rnacentral:rRNA from 1 species
CCGGAGGUGGAAGCCCCGCGAGGGGUGGAGCCGACCGGUACUAACGGGCGACGGCGACA